rnacentral:rRNA from 1 species
UACGGGGGGGGCAAGCGUUGUUCGGAAUUACUGGGCGUAAAGGGCUCGUAGGUGGCCAACUAAGUCAGACGUGAAAUCCCUCGGCUUAACCGGGGAACUGCGUCUGAUACUGGAUGGCUUGAGUUCGGGAGAGGGAUGCGGAAUUCCAGGUGUAGAGGUGAAAUUCGUAGAUAUUCGCAAGAACACCAGUGGCGAAGGCGGCUCACUGGCCCGAUACUGACGCUGAGGCACGAAAGCGUGGGGAGCAAACAGG